rnacentral:rRNA from 1 species
GACGGAGGAUGCAAGUGUUAUCCGGAAUCACUGGGCGUAAAGCGUCUGUAGGUGGUUCAAUAAGCCAACUGUUAAAUCUUGAGGCUCAACUUCAAAAUCGCAGUCGAAACUAUUGGACUCGAGUAUAGUAGGGGUAAAGGGAAUUUCCAGUGGAGCGGUGAAAUGCGUAGAGAUUGGAAAGAACACCAAUGGCGAAAGCACUUUACUGGGCUAUUACUGACACUGAGAGACGAAAGCUAGGGUAGCAAAUGGG